CUGUAUUCUGCAUGAGCUCCUUGCAGUAGUCCCUGUGCCGAUUUCGAUCGUGCUGGAUAAAGCCUUCCUUACCAUGCUUUAACACUGACUAAUUUUUUCUUUAACAAGAGAAAUGCUGAUUCUGAAUUGCUAGACUCCCACCGUUUCUGAAGUCCUUAUCCUUCCCCCUAUCUUAAAGUGGGAGUCAAUACAUCAGCUUUUUUUACUCAAGCUGGUUUGAUAAGGGGUUUUGUUAUUUGUACCUAAAAGCCGUGACCAAUUUGUAGAGUAGGGCCAUAAAGACAGGUACUACGCUCUACUUCAGGAGUGCUAUCUAUAUUCCAGCUAAGGCUUACCACCUAGAGCAGUGCCUGGUACAUGGCAAGUACUAAAGAAAUAUGUGUUGAAAGAGGAGUGCCUCUUCCUUGAUACGCUUUUUUGGUCAAUGGUUUUCUUAACUUGGUGCAUUGAUUAAAAUAGGGAACAUUUAUCUCCUUUCCUCUCUUGCUCGUGGAUAUAACUCAAGAUGGUUGCUGUUUAAAUUUGAACACCUUAAAUAAAUGGCUCUUUUUGCAACUGGAAGCACAAUUUUUGCACAGCUAGAAAAAUCUUUUUCCAACACAGAAAUUCCCAGUGCAGUUUUCUAAGAAACCCCCUACGAUACGCAGCACAGCAGGCUCACCACAAGGCACAUCAAUCAUUUUACUGUGUAUCAGGCACCUCUUACAGGAUUUUCUGUGAUCCUGGUGUCAGUGCACAUUCUGUAUCAAGGCAGAGAUGAUAUGUAGAAAUCUGGCAGCUAUUUAGAAGGGAGGCUGGGCAGUGGUGUGCCAGUAUAAUUAAUGAGAGUCAUCGCUUAGGAAAUGAAGAGGGUGGGGGUUGGGAAGGAUGCCUUUCACCAUUCAAUGGCAUUUAAGAAAAAUUGAUGCUUUCUUAGCACUUUUAAUGCUGGGAGGACAUUAAGUCAAAGAAUCACAGCAAAAGAUUUUUGUAACUACUGUACAGAUGGAUGUCCCUGUGCUUGAAGAGGCAGGGCUAAUUCAACCCCAGACUUUUCAGCCAGGCGGAUUUCAACCUUGUAUUGAGCUACCAGCAGGAGUUCUUUAUACUUGGAAAAGUGGUAAAUCCUUACUAAAAGAUCAUAGCUUGCAUGACCAAGAGAUCCUCUAGAAAAGGUACUUUACUACCAUGUAGGAUGUUUGUCUUACCUGCCCAAAGAAGUUUUAAUGAAGAUCUCAUUUUCUCCAGUUCCCCUUUAACCAGUGAAAGAGGAGGGUAUUAUUUGUUUUGUUUUUCUAUUUAUUCUUUGGUAACCAUGGAAGAGUUUGUGUAACCUAGAGAGGCUGCUUAUUACCCACUGUCUAAUCCCUUUGUUAUUAUUCC
rnacentral:lncRNA from 10 species